rnacentral:rRNA from 16 species
CAGAAUCAGCGGGGAAAGAAGACCCUGUUGAGCUUGACUCUAGUUUGACAUUGUGAAAAGACAUAGAGAGUGUAGCAUAAGGGGGAGCUUCGGCGCCCGUGAAAUACCCCUACCUUUAUCGUCUUUUUACUUAUUCAAUGAAGCGGAGCUGGGAUUAACGUCCCACCUUUUAGCAUUAAGGUCCUUUACGGGCUGAUCCGGGUUGAAGACAUUGUCAGGUGGGGAGUUUGGCUGGGGCGGCAC